GCCCCACCACCAACACCAAUGCGAUAGACAGGGCCACCAAGCUUCACCACUUUCAUUCCUGGGGAAGACAGGAAUCCGUGUGAAAAAUGAAGGUAAAGUGACAAGGUAAGCAGGAUAUGGAUGGUUAUGUGAUCUUCAGCAAGACAAUGAAUGCCUCAAGUCAGUUCAAGUACAGGAAUACCUUCACAUGACUUCUCAUCUUAGAGAGAAUGGAAACUGUGGUAUGACCCAGCACCUCUUGUCAUACUCCAAAACCCACCAUCCGGUAAUGUCAUCCACUGACGCCAGAGGGUUGAAAUUUGUUCUCAAAGAGGUGGGCCUUGAUACUUCAUGUUUCAAGGCCUACUGAAUCAGGGAUGCAAUCACUUCCUAACAUGUCAAAUUCUGAGGUGACAGCUCAAGUCAUCAUGAAAACGGCAGACUAGUCACCCGUGACUACCAAUUGCCAACUCCCGCAACAGAGGAUCAGAGUUUGGUCAAGCAGUUCUGGCGUCAGCGCCUUGACAGCC